GGCAGCAGUAGGGAAUAUUGGUCAAUGGAUGCAAGUCUGAACCAGCCAUGCCGCGUGCAGGAAGAAGGCCUUCUGGGUUGUAAACUGCUUUUGCCGGGGGAUAAAAAGUCCAUGCGUGGACAAUUGAAGGUACCCGGUGAAUAAGCCACGGCUAACUACGUGCCAGCAGCCGCGGUAAUACGUAGGUGGCAAGCGUUGUCCGGAUUUAUUGGGUUUAAAGGGUGCGUAGGCAGCCUAUUAAGUCAGUUCUGAAAUAUCCCGGCUUAACCGGGAGGGUGGGAUUGAUACUGAUGGGCUUGAGUGGAAUCGAGGUAGGCGGAAUUGACGGUGUAGCGGUGAAAUGCUUAGAUAUCGUCAAGAACACCGAUAGUGUAGACAGCUUACUAGACUUCAACUGACGCUGAGGCACGAAAGUGUGGGGAUCAAACAGGAUUAGAUACCCUGGUAGUCCACACUGUAAACGUUGAUUACCCGCUGUGUGCGAUAUACAGUACGCGGCUUAGCGAAAGCGAUAAGUAAUCCACCUGGGGAGUACGCCGGCAACGGUGAAACUCAAAGGAAU
rnacentral:rRNA from 1 species